rnacentral:rRNA from 1 species
GGUGAACGCUGGCGGUAGGCCUAACACAUGCAAGUCGAACGGCAGCACAGUAAGAGCUUGCUCUUACGGGUGGCGAGUGGCGGACGGGUGAGGAAUACAUCGGAAUCUACUUUUUCGUGGGGGAUAACGUAGGGAAACUUACGCUAAUACCGCAUACGACCUACGGGUGAAAGCAGGGGAUCUUCGGACCUUGCGCGAUUGAAUGAGCCGAUGUCGGAUUAGCUAGUUGGCGGGGUAAAGGCCCACCAAGGCGACGAUCCGUAGCUGGUCUGAGAGGAUGAUCAGCCACACUGGAACUGAGACACGGUCCAGACUCCUACGGGAGGCAGCAGUGGGGAAUAUUGGACAAUGGGCGCAAGCCUGAUCCAGCCAUACCGCGUGGGUGAAGAAGGCCUUCGGGUUGUAAAGCCCUUUUGUUGGGAAAGAAAAGCAGCAGGUUAAUACCACGCUGUUCUGACGGUACCCAAAGAAUAAGCACCGGCUAACUUCGUG